rnacentral:rRNA from 4 species
AUCCGGGUUGCGGACAGUGUCUGGUGGGUAGUUUGACUGGGGCGGUCUCCUCCUAAAGAGUAACGGAGGAGCACGAAGGUUGGCUAAUCCUGGUCGGACAUCAGGAGGUUAGUGCAAUGGCAUAAGCCAGCUUGACUGCGAGCGUGACGGCGCGAGCAGGUGCGAAAGCAGGUCAUAGUGAUCCGGUGGUUCUGAAUGGAAGGGCCAUCGCUCAACGGAUAAAAGGUACUCCGGGGAUAACAGGCUGAUACCGCCCAAGAGUUCAUAUCGACGGCGGUGUUUGGCACCUCGAUGUCGGCUCAUCACAUCCUGGGGCUGAAGUAGGUCCCAAGGGUAUGGCUGUUCGCCAUUUAAAGUGGUACGCGAGCUGGGUUUAGAACGUCGUGAGACAGUUCGGUCCCUAUCUGCCGUGGGCGCUGGAGAACUGAGGGGGGCUGCUCCUAGUACGAGAGGACCGGAGUGGACGCAUCACUGGUGUUCGGGUUGUCAUGCCAAUGGCACUGCCCGGUAGCUAAAUGCGGAAGAGAUAAGUGCUGAAAGCAUCUAAGCACGAAACUUGCCCCGAGAUGAGUUCUCCCUGAGACUUUAAGUCUCCUGAAGGAACGUUGAAGACGACGACGUUGAUAGGCCGGGUGUGUAAGCGCAGCGAUGCGUUGAGCUAACCGGUACUAAUGAACCGUGAGGCUUAACCUUACAACGCCGAAG